rnacentral:rRNA from 1 species
UACAGAGGGUGCAAGCGUUAAUCGGAAUUACUGGGCGUAAAGCGUGCGUAGACGGUUAUUUAAGUCAGGUGUGAAAGCCCCGGGCUCAACCCUGGGAAUUGCAUUUGAGACUGAAUAGCUAGGGUGCGGAAGAGGGAAGCGGAAUUUCCGGUGUAGCGGUGAAAUGCGUAGAUAUCGGAAGGAACACCAGUGGCGAAAGCGGCUCCUGGUCCAGCACCGACGUUCAGGCACGAAAGCGUGGGGAGCAAACAGG